CUUCACGAUGGAAUGGCUGCACCCACACUGUCUGUGGUACAGAGCAGAAGCCCAUGGACACACACCAGCUAAUCCUGCCAAUGUCAUCUCCUGACCCGUCUAAGGAGGAGAUGGAGGGAAGUUCUGAGUUUGUCGAGCUGAGACGUGAUUCAGCGAUGUCAUAAAACAUUUGAAGCGGCUUGAUGAAACCGUAGCGUUAU
rnacentral:lncRNA from 1 species